GAUGAACGCUGGCGGCGUGCUUAACACAUGCAAGUCGAACGGAAAGGCCUCUGCUUGCAGGGGUCCUCGAGUGGCGAACGGGUGAGUAACACGUGGGUGAUCUGCCCUGCACUUCGGGAUAAGCCUGGGAAACUGGGUCUAAUACCGGAUAGGACAAUGGUUUGGAUGCUGUUGUGGAAAGUUUUUCGGUGUGGGAUGAGCUCGCGGCCUAUCAGCUUGUUGGUGGGGUAAUGGCCUACCAAGGCGUCGACGGGUAGCCGGCCUGUGAGGGUGUACGGCCAAAUUGGGACUGAUAUACGGCCCGGACUCCAAGGGGGGGAAGGUGGGGGGAAUAUUGCCAAAGGGGCGGAAGCCUGAUGGAGAGACGCCGGGGGGGGGAGGGCGGCCUUGGGGUUGGAAAACCAUUUCGCGAGGGAAGAAGCGUUUUUUUGGGGGUACCGGGGAAAGAAGCACCGGCUAACUACGG
rnacentral:rRNA from 1 species